GAUGAACGCUGGCGGCGUGCCUAAUACAUGCAAGUCGAGCGAACAGACGAGGAGCUUGCUCCUCUGACGUUAGCGGCGGACGGGUGAGUAACACGUGGAUAACCUACCUAUAAGACUGGGAUAAAUUCGGGAAACCGGAGCUAAUACCGGAUAAUAUAUUGAACCGCAUGGUUCAAUAGUGAAAGACGGUUUUGCUGUCACUUAUAGAUGGAUCCGCGCCGCAUUAGCUAGUUGGUAAGGUAACGGCUUACCAAGGCGACGAUGCGUAGCCGACCUGAGAGGGUGAUCGGCCACACUGGAACUGAGACACGGUCCAGACUCCUACGGGAGGCAGCAGUAGGGAAUCUUCCGCAAUGGGCGAAAGCUUGACGGAGCAACGCCGCGUGAGUGAUGAAGGUCUUCGGAUCGUAAAACUCUGUUAUUAGGGAAGAACAAAAGUGUAAGUAACUAUGCACGUCUUGACGGUACCUAAUCAGAAAGCCACGGCUAACUACGUG
rnacentral:rRNA from 1 species